AGCCACCUGACAUAGACCAUCUCACUUCAUUUAUCCACAGCUAAGAGGAUCCACAGUCCUCAUAUGAGGUUGGAACCAGGGCCCAAACGUCACCCCCAAGCCCACACACUUCCUCUUCACAUGCAGCUGAGGCACCUUCCCUAAGACAAUGACUCGGGCCUCCUGAUGGCCUAAUCAGAUGGAGCUCACAGCCAGCCUGGACUUUGUAGUCAGACACAGGUAGGUUGAAUUCUGGUUCUCUGCUUUGCAUUGUGAAAUCAAGCAAAUGACUUCAUCUCUCUGAGAUGUCAUUUUCUUUUCUUCUUCUAAAAAAAGGAUUUUAUUUAUUUAUUUCAGAGAGAGAAUGAGAGCAGGGACAGGGACAGAGAGAGAGGGAAACAGAGAACCUCAAGCAGACUCCCCACUGGGCACGGAGCAGAAUGAGGGGCUCGAUCUCCUCACCCUGAGAUGACCUGAGCUGAAAUGAAGAGUCAGACACUCAGUCAACUGAGCCACCCAGGUGCCCUGAGAUGUUGUUUUCUUAUCUGCAAAAUGGGAUAAAUGUCUCAUGAUGUGUUUAGCCGUUGAUGGAGGUAGGUGCUUUACAUGAUGACCAUAUCAUCAUGCCGAGAGUCCAAGGCCAAGGCCAAGUUUCCCACAGUUCCUUAGUGCUGAUCUUCUUUGUCAACAGAAAUUGAAAAUUUUGCUGGUGGAAUCCAUCUCCUAACUGUGGGGCUCCAGCAGGCACUAAA
rnacentral:lncRNA from 12 species